UACGUAGGGUGCGAGCGUUAAUCGGAAUUACUGGGCGUAAAGCGUGCGCAGGCGGUUUUACAAGACAGGUGUGAAAUCCCCGGGCUCAACCUGGGAACUGCAUUUGUGACUGCAAGGCUAGAGUACGGUAGAGGGGGAUGGAAUUCCGCGUGUAGCAGUGAAGUGCGUAGAUAUGCGGAGGAACACCGAUGGCGAAGGCAAUCCCCUGGACCUGUACUGACGCUCAUGCACGAAAGCGUGGGGAGCAAACAGG
rnacentral:rRNA from 1 species